UACGGAGGGUGCAAGCGUUAUUCGGAUUUAUUGGGCGUAAAGAGCACGUAGGCGGCCGCCUAAGUCAGAUGUGAAAGCCCGGGGCUCAACCCCGGAAGUGCAUUUGAAACUGGGCGGCUUGAGUAUGGGAGAGGGAAGUGGAAUUCCUGGUGUAGAGGUGAAAUUCGUAGAUAUCAGGAGGAACAUCGGUGGCGAAGGCGACUUCCUGGACCAAUACUGACGCUGAGGUGCGAAGGCGUGGGGAG
rnacentral:rRNA from 1 species